UGAGAACUGGUUUUCAUAGACUGGUUCCAGUUCUGUAAGCUCAGUCCGUGAUACUCAGUUCUCUAG
rnacentral:pre_miRNA from 1 species